ACCCAGAAGACUCCUAUGCCGAAAUGUCUACAAGACACUUGAUCAAAGAUAGAAAGAAACAUUACAUCGACAUUUGAAGAAAAGCAAGAUGAAAAUUAUGAUUUCCGAUUACCCUGCAAGGCAACAGCUCCCUUUAGCUUACUCCAGAGUGCCAGACCCCGAGUCUUAAACAUCCAGGCAGCUGCAAAGGCCAUGGAAAUCCUGAAUUCAAAGGAGCUCAGAGUUUCCUCAUACACUGUGUUAUAAGUCAACGGAAAGACUGGGCUGGAACACAGAAACUAAAUCAGCGUGCUGCCAAAGGGAAGAGGAAAAGACACAGCUGACUGGUACUGCCUGAGCAUUAGGCAAAAGGGAAUUAAGAAGUCAUUCACAAACAGGAAACCCCCUGCUGGCAGUCAGCAGUGAAGUUGUUUUCAGAGUGCACCCAUUGUGAAAAAUAAAAAGCUUCAUGAAAAGGAAGGAUCAGACAGGUGGAAGUGAGAAUACCAAUGCCAACACAGGAGGCAGACGCAGAGAGAGAUUAGAGAGAGCAAACGGGGAGUUAGUCAAAGGCUGCCUGCUUGAUUU